GCCUCUCUACGAGGGCUUUAUGCCGUGUUCUGCGCCAGCAAGGAUGAGCCAAAGAGGGUGCUACAAGGGAGGGUUGCAUCUUUGACGCAAGGACCAGUAUGCGGGUUUGGUGUAUUCCAACUCUUUUUUGUCCUCUUUGUAUCCAACAUAUGGAGAAAUAAGUACUUUGUAAUGCUAAGGAUGGAGUCCUUAUAAUCCCGAAGAAAUUGAGAAGAUUGCGCUCCUCAGAUCUGCAACAAAUGAGGUUUUGGACUGCAAUAUCGACAUUUGUGGAGAGUUCAAGGAUCCUGAUGAUUUGUUGGUUUCUCCUUUGCAGGUGAGGCCCCUGUUAGUGAA